UCUCCGUUGGUGAACCAGCGGAGGGAUCAUUACCGAAUUAUCAACUCCCAAACCCCUGUGAACAUACCCAACGUUGCUUCGGUGGGACCGCCCCGGCGCCCCCGGCGCCCCGGAACCAGGCGCCCGCCGGAGGAUCCAAACUCUUGUUUAAACCAUAGUGGCAUAUUCUGAGUCUCACAAGAAAAAUGAAUCAAAACUUUCAACAACGGAUCUCUUGGCUCUG
rnacentral:misc_RNA from 1 species